CGAAAGCCUGACGGAGCAAUACCGCGUGAGGGAUGAAGGCCUUUGGGUUGUAAACCUCUUUUAUCAAGGAGGAAGUUCUGACGUGUACUUGAUGAAUAAGCAUCGGCUAACUCCGUGCCAGCAGCCGCGGUAAGACGGAGGAUGCAAGUGUUAUCCGGAAUCACUGGGCGUAAAGCGUCUGUAGGUGGUUUAAAAAGUCCACUGUUAAAGAUUGAAGCUUAACUUCAAAAAUGCCGUGGAAACUUUUAAACUUGAGUAUGAUAGGGGUAGAGGGAAUUUCCAGUGGAGCGGUGAAAUGCGUAGAUAUUGGAAAGACCACCAAUGGCGAAGGCACUCUACUGGGCCAUUACUGACACUGAGAGACGAAAGC
rnacentral:rRNA from 1 species